AACCGAUACGUUGGGCUAAAUGGAUGUCACGGUGACAUAAAGAUAUCAUGCUCGUGGAGUUUACAACAUCAUGCAAUACUUACCGCAUAUAAAAGCAAUUUGGUUUCCAUCUAGUAUAAGUGAUCAGUUCACAAAAGGGGGAGUGUUCCUGUAUAUAAAAUACUGCAUAAGAGGUAACUAUCUACAGUUUUCUGCACAUCCUUGAUCUUACUGUCAAGAGUCCUCUGCAACUUCGGCAUAUCAGUCACAGCAGAAGUAUUCCCGCACCACCGUGAUAAUGCCAGCCAAAACUUCCUGUUUAUACAUUCGUCCUGCAAAUAAAUUACAACCCGCCGCUUUCGACAAUGCUCGACUAGUAAAGCGAAGGGCUAAUUUUCCAGGGUUUGUAGGGUUCGAUCAAGGGCCUGAGCUUAUAAUGAGCAGCUUCCAAUAAGCUCCGUGCUGCAUGAAUCCCAAAAAAUCUGGCCUGAUCGAGUAGGAAUUUUCCUGGAUAAAUUCCCGAAUGCUCAAUGGGCUAUGCUAGAAUAGUUUUAAUAAGCGGGGAAACUGUAGUUUUAAUCUCUUCCAUCUGCUCCUAAUGAGUGUCAGGUGCAAUGCCAACACGUG
rnacentral:lncRNA from 1 species